rnacentral:lncRNA from 1 species
GGGGUCUCUGCUGGAGCGGAGCGAUGGGAGUUUUCGUUGUAGCAACAUUGCCACCUAGUGCUGUCGGGAUGCAGUUCCGACUCCGUGAAAUCCGCCUCUUGAGCAACUGAAACAACAAAACAAGUUGGUGUGACUUCUUCAUUCCGUAUUUUAGCCACGCUGCCACCUCUCUUCCCUCGAUAUUCUCACUUUUAGUGAGAACUCUUCUGAAAUAAUGGGAAUAAUUCAAAGCUCGCUGGCUGGCUUUCACAACGGAAGACCCCUGAUUAAAUGUUGGCUUUGAAUGGAGGCAGACUGCAAUGGUGAUACGUCACAACAAACCGGGAGGUGAUGGAGGAGGGCUUACCUGGAGGCUGUUCAGAAGCCAGCAGACUACAGCUAUUGGAAACUGAAACUAGAUCUUCUCGCUCUCUAUCCAGCCUUCAGCAACCUAUUCUUCCCAAAUCACGGCCCAUCUGCACACAGCUCCUCUGAGCCAUCACCUGAAACUGAAAAACCUUCAUUCUCCUUGACAUAACUGAGAUGAUGUAAAGAAGUCGAAAAGCCUGUGAGAGCAAAACAGAGUGUAGACUAUGCAGCCUGAGUCCUGGGCUAAAUAAUUAUCUCCGAGUAUUGUAUUAUUUGCAUAAUUAAAAAGUUUGGCUGAAUUUCCGACAUGCUGUCUCCUACAUCAGGGAGGUGGUGGGGG